ensembl:lncRNA
CUUGAUCUUAUCCGACACUUUUGAAGCCCUUUGAGACCUUGUGUGUGGAAUGAUGAAUAGUUAUUAAAGAGUGUAUUACACACUUCUGGGCAGCAUCUCCACAUCUUUCCCCUCAUUGAGAAUGAGAGGGUCUAUGAAUCUGCAUCUAGGGAAGACCAUCCUGCCUCUCAUCCAAAGAGACAACAGCCCCCUGGGACCGGAAAUACACAGCUCAUAUAAGGGCAGAGAAUAAACACUGAGUGGCCGUAGAAACCUUAUUGUUGUGUUUGUGUCCAGGUCUCCAGUCUACUAUGGAUGAGGAGAGAGAGGAUGGGGGUCCUACCUCUAAGACCACUCUGUCUGGGGAACAUGGCCGCCGGAGCAAAGCUACGAGCCCAGAGCAGCAGGAGAGAGCAGACUCCCCUGGACCCAGCUGUGCC